rnacentral:rRNA from 1 species
GAUCCUGCCAGUAGUCAUAUGCUUGUCUCAAAGAUUAAGCCAUGCAUGUCUAAGUACGAGCUGUGUUUCACACGGCGAGACCGCGGACGGCUCAUUAAAUCAGUCUUUGUCCAAAUGGGCCAGUACCAAACUUGGAUACCCGUGGUAAUUCCAGAGCUAAUACAUGCAACUCAUACCCUGAUGGGAGGCGUACUUAGCGCUUGUCGCUCUGUGCGUUCUCUUUCCUGACGGGUGCUUUUAUUAGACCAAACUGCUGGGGACUGCGUGCGAUUUAUUUCGUACGUGGUCUGGCUCGCACCAUGGUGACUCUGAAUAACCAAUUUUGACGAGCGCACGUACCUCUCUUUCGAGUGGACGGCGCUGCCACUUUCGAGUGUCUGCCUUAUCAGCUGUCAACCGCUCGUUACACGCGACCGAUGGCUUUGACGGGUAACGGGGAAUCAGGGUUCGAUUCCGGAGAGGCAGCCUGAGAGACGGCUACCACGUCCAAGGACGGCAGCAGGCACGCAAAUUACCCAAUCCCAGCAACUGGGGGAGGUAGUGACGAAAUCUAACGAUGCGGGCGCCCUUUCUGGGCCCCGCAAUCGGAAUGAGCACUUUCUAAACAACCUGUUGAGAACCUACUGAAGGGCAAGUCUGGUGCCAGCAGCCGCG